UACGGAAGGUGCAAGCGUUGCUCGGAAUCACUGGGCGUAAAGGGUGCGUAGGCGGGUCUUUAAGUCAGGGGUGAAAUCCUGGAGCUCAACUCCAGAACUGCCUUUGAUACUGAAGAUCUUGAGUUCGGGAGAGGUGAGUGGAACUGCGAGUGUAGAGGUGAAAUUCGUAGAUAUUCGCAAGAACACCAGUGGCGAAGGCGGCUUACUGGUCCGGUACUGACGCUGAGGUGCGAAAGCGUGGGGAGCAAACAGG
rnacentral:rRNA from 1 species